rnacentral:rRNA from 1 species
UUAAAUUGAAGAGUUUGAUCAUGGCUCAGAUUGAACGCUGGCGGCAGGCCUAACACAUGCAAGUCGAACGGUAACAGGAAGCAGCUUGCUGCUUCGCUGACGAGUGGCGGACGGGUGAGUAAUGUCUGGGAAACUGCCUGAUGGAGGGGGAUAACUACUGGAAACGGUGGCUAAUACCGCAUAACGUCGCAAGACCAAAGAGGGGGACCUUCGGGCCUCUUGCCAUCAGAUGUGCCCAGAU